GAUGAACGCUGGCGGCGUGCCUAAUACAUGCAAGUCGAGCGAACAGACGAGGAGCUUGCUCCUCUGACGUUAGCGGUGGACGGGUGAGUAACACGUGGAUAACCUACCUAUAAGACUGGGAUAACUUCGGGAAACCGGAGCUAAUACCGGAUAACAUGUUGAACCGCAUGGUUCAACAGUGAAAGACGGUCUUGCUGUCACUUAUAGAUGGAUCCGCGCCGCAUUAGCUAGUUGGUAAGGUAACGGCUUACCAAGGCAACGAUGCGUAGCCGACCUGAGAGGGUGAUCGGCCACACUGGAACUGAGACACGGUCCAGACUCCUACGGGAGGCAGCAGUAGGGAAUCUUCCGCAAUGGGCGAAAGCCUGACGGGGCAACGCCGCGUGAGUGAAGAAGGUCUUCGGAUCGUAAACUCUGUUAUUAGGGAAGAACAAAUGUGUAAGUAACUAUGCACGUCUUGACGGUACCUAAUCAGAAAGCCACGGCUAACUACGUGCCAGCAGCCGCCGUAA
rnacentral:rRNA from 1 species